AAAAUAGGCAGAAGGCCGUUUGAAUUCCAACAUUCCAGAAUUCUGGGACAGCUUCCAGGACUGGCGGCUGCUCCCGAAAUCCCAGGAACGUUCCGGUACUUCUGGGGACGGAAGUGGAGCACCAGCCAGAGCCGUCCCUGGCCCCCUGGCCUGGGAACAUGCUUAGAGGAUGACAAUUGGGCUCCCUUCAGCCGAAAUUCCACUCCCGUGGGGGCCUUGCCAAGGAAAACAAGCCCAAGAACUGGGCAUUGAAGCUACGAGACCGAAGGUCCUGGAUUCCAAAGCGACCUGAGUCCUUCAAGAGAAUGGAGCUCAGUCCGUCCUCAGUUGACAAGGAGUAGCUGACCCUGGAGAGAGCCAGGCAAGAGGUGGAGAAAGCAAAAAUCAUUUCUUAAACACCUACUGUGUCCCUGACACUGAGUUGAGCCUUAAGAGUACACUGUGAAUCAACCAGAUGAAAAUAUCUGCCCUGGCGGAGCUGACAAGGAAACAAACAAGAUGUGUAGGAGCCCUGCAGGCGUGAGCAUCUGGCUCUGAUGGCUGUCCCGGCCCCAAGACGCCCGGUACCAGGAGGAGGUGGGGCUGUGAAUGGGCACGCACCACACAGACCAGUCUUGAGCCUGCGUCUCUGCCCCUCCCUGAUGGGGAGACCAGGGCAGCACCUGUCCCAUCAGGGCCUCGGUUUCUUCAUCUGCACAAUGUGGGCAAGAAGCUGGCCUGCCCCUCGGGGCCUGCACUUGGUUCUCACAGGGACACAGACACGUCCCAUCUCCCUGGCUGCAUGUCAGGCCCCAACCUCCCACACCAACAGCCAUCCUGACUGCC